GAUGAACGCUAGCGAUAGGCUUAACACAUGCAAGUCGAGGGGCAGCACAUGAGUGGCAACACGAUGGUGGCGACCGGCGCACGGGUGAGUAACACGUAUGCAACCUGCCCAUAACUGGGGGAUAACCCGUCGAAAGGCGGACUAAUACCGCAUGACAACGAUGAUCCGCAUGGUGAUUCGUUUAAAGAUUUAUCGGUUAUGGAUGGGCAUGCGUUCCAUUAGGUAGUUGGCAGGGUAACGGCCUACCAAGCCUACGAUGGAUAGGGGUUCUGAGAGGAAGGUCCCCAACACUGGUACUGAGACACGGACCAGACUCCGACGGGAGGCAGCAGUAGGGAAUAUUGGUCAAUGGGCGAGAGCCUGAACCAGCCAAAUCGCGUGAAGGAUGAAGGUAUUAUGUAUUGUAAACUUCUUUUGUCGGGGAAUAAAGUGCAGCACGUGUGCUGUUUUGUAUGUACCCGAAGAAUAAGGAUCGGCUAACUCCGUGCCAGCCGCCGCCGUAAUAC
rnacentral:rRNA from 1 species